AGGGUUUUUCACAACAAUGGUAUUACCUGACAUCUUUCAAGUGUCACGCGGGCUGGAAUAUUUUGUGAGUUCACGGUCAAUUACCGUCCUACUCCGUUCUAUUCUUUUGUCCAGCUAGUGAUCUUUUAAGAAUCCAAAAACAUAUAACGUAUAUACAUGCUGAUUGUUGUUGAAUGCAGGUUAGCGGCAGUAUAUAUUAGUAUUAGGUUUGCAUAAUAUAUAUUAGUGUCGAAAUUCUAUAAAUUCAGUCGCAUAGUGUAAAAUUAGUCUGAAUAACAAUGAUACGAAGUGAAAAUGAUUGCGCAUAUAAAUCUAUUUAAAUAUACUUGUAAAUAAUUAGAUAUGGCCCACGGGGUAAGGUUUUCAAAGAACAACAUGUCUAAAAUGGUAUGACAUAUACAUGCCUGAAAUGACAUAUAUAUACGUGCCUAAUGAGAACUUAUAAGUCUACAUUUGUGAAUAUGAUGACACGAGGCAAACACAUAUACUGUAUGCAUGCUAUUUCACUUCGUGUCAUCGUAGCACGCAAUAAUAUAGGUUACCCAGGCUUUUAUAAUAGCGC
rnacentral:lncRNA from 1 species